rnacentral:rRNA from 1 species
GACGAACCGUGCGAACGUUAUUCGGAAUCAUUGGGCUUAAAGGGCGCGUAGGCGGCGGCGUAAGUUGGAAGUGAAAUCCCAUCGGCUCAACCGUGGAAUCGCUCCCAGUACUGCGUCGCUCGAGGGGGAUAGGGGUCGUGCGGAACUACCGGUGGAGCGGUGAAAUGUGUUGAUAUCGGUGGGAACGCCAGUGGCGAAAGCGGCAGACUGGACCCUUCCUGACGCUGAGGCGCGAAAGCUAGGGGAGCAAACGGGG